CAUCAUUCAUCAGCUCAUUUGAACAUCUUCUGUUUCUUGUAUAAUGGCAUCAAUGAAGGCUGAAAAACCCGCAGGCAGUCAGCUGUAUGGACACGCCGAAAAGGUAGCUGUCAAAACCAGUGACGGUCCUUCGAAAGGACCAUCUUCUAAAGGCUCGUCAAAGAAGACGGUUGCACCAAAGGCUACUCAGGAAACUAAGAAGAAGGGAAAAGGUGGGAAAUCAGGAGCAAAACAUUGAUGGAAUUAAAACAUAAUCAUGUUAUAAUAAGCUAUCAUGAUAUGAUUGAAUGAAGUGUUAUCCAUGUUCAAUGAUUUUCUUCAAUUUCUGUAUGUUUGUAACUUGUUAUCCUAUUAAAUAAACUAAUUGAUGUA